UUAAGCGACUAAGCGUACACGGUGGAUGCCCUGGCAGUCAGAGGCGAUGAAGGACGUGCUAAUCUGCGAUAAGCGUCGGUGAGGUGAUAUGAACCGUUAUAACCGGCGAUUUCCGAAUGGGGAAACCCAGUGUGUUUCGACACACUAUCAUUAACUGAAUCCAUAGGUUAAUGAGGCGAACCGGGGGAACUGAAACAUCUAAGUACCCCGAGGAAAAGAAAUCAACCGAGAUUCCCCCAGUAGCGGCGAGCGAACGGGGAGGAGCCCAGAGCCUGAAUCAGUGUGUGUGUUAGUGGAAGCGUCUGGAAAGGCGUGCGAUACAGGGUGACAGCCCCGUACACAAAAAUGCACAUAUUGUGAGCUCGAUGAGUAGGGCGGGACACGUGGUAUCCUGUCUGAAUAUGGGGGGACCAUCCUCCAAGGCUAAAUACUCCUGACUGACCGAUAGUGAACCAGUACCGUGAGGGAAAGGCGAAAAGAACCCCGGCGAGGGGAGUGAAAAAGAACCUGAAACCGUGUACGUACAAGCAGUGGGAGCCUCUUAAUGGGGUGACUGCGUACCUUUUGUAUAAUGGGUCAGCGACUUAUAUUCUGUAGCAAGGUUAACCGAAUAGGGGAGCCGAAGGGAAACCGAGUCUUAACUGGGCGUUAAGUUGCAGGGUAUAGACCCGAAACCCGGUGAUCUAGCCAUGGGCAGGUUGAAGGUUGGGUAACACUAACUGGAGGACCGAACCGACUAAUGUUGAAAAAUUAGCGGAUGACUUGUGGCUGGGGGUGAAAGGCCAAUCAAACCGGGAGAUAGCUGGUUCUCCCCGAAAGCUAUUUAGGUAGCGCCUCGUGAAUUCAUCUCCGGGGGUAGAGCACUGUUUCGGCAAGGGGGUCAUCCCGACUUACCAACCCGAUGCAAACUGCGAAUACCGGAGAAUGUUAUCACGGGAGACACACGGCGGGUGCUAACGUCCGUCGUGAAGAGGGAAACAACCCAGACCGCCAGCUAAGGUCCCAAAGUCAUGGUUAAGUGGGAAACGAUGUGGGAAGGCCCAGACAGCCAGGAUGUUGGCUUAGAAGCAGCCAUCAUUUAAAGAAAGCGUAAUAGCUCACUGGUCGAGUCGGCCUGCGCGGAAGAUGUAACGGGGCUAAACCAUGCACCGAAGCUGCGGCAGCGACACUAUGUGUUGUUGGGUAGGGGAGCGUUCUGUAAGCCUGUGAAGGUGGCCUGUGAGGGUUGCUGGAGGUAUCAGAAGUGCGAAUGCUGACAUAAGUAACGAUAAAGCGGGUGAAAAGCCCGCUCGCCGGAAGACCAAGGGUUCCUGUCCAACGUUAAUCGGGGCAGGGUGAGUCGACCCCUAAGGCGAGGCCGAAAGGCGUAGUCGAUGGGAAACAGGUUAAUAUUCCUGUACUUGGUGUUACUGCGAAGGGGGGACGGAGAAGGCUAUGUUGGCCGGGCGACGGUUGUCCCGGUUUAAGCGUGUAGGCUGGUUUUCCAGGCAAAUCCGGAAAACCAAGGCUGAGGCGUGAUGACGAGGCACUACGGUGCUGAAGUGACAAAUGCCCUGCUUCCAGGAAAAGCCUCUAAGCAUCAGGUAACAUCAAAUCGUACCCCAAACCGACACAGGUGGUCAGGUAGAGAAUACCAAGGCGCUUGAGAGAACUCGGGUGAAGGAACUAGGCAAAAUGGUGCCGUAACUUCGGGAGAAGGCACGCUGAUAUGUAGGUGAAGCGACUCGCUCGUGGAGCUGAAAUCAGUCGAAGAUACCAGCUGGCUGCAACUGUUUAUUAAAAACACAGCACUGUGCAAACACGAAAGUGGACGUAUACGGUGUGACGCCUGCCCGGUGCCGGAAGGUUAAUUGAUGGGGUUAGCGGUAACGCGAAGCUCUUGAUCGAAGCCCCGGUAAACGGCGGCCGUAACUAUAACGGUCCUAAGGUAGCGAAAUUCCUUGUCGGGUAAGUUCCGACCUGCACGAAUGGCGUAAUGAUGGCCAGGCUGUCUCCACCCGAGACUCAGUGAAAUUGAACUCGCUGUGAAGAUGCAGUGUACCCGCGGCAAGACGGAAAGACCCCGUGAACCUUUACUAUAGCUUGACACUGAACAUUGAGCCUUGAUGUGUAGGAUAGGUGGGAGGCUUUGAAGUGUGGACGCCAGUCUGCAUGGAGCCGACCUUGAAAUACCACCCUUUAAUGUUUGAUGUUCUAACGUUGGCCCGUAAUCCGGGUUGCGGACAGUGUCUGGUGGGUAGUUUGACUGGGGCGGUCUCCUCCUAAAGAGUAACGGAGGAGCACGAAGGUUGGCUAAUCCUGGUCGGACAUCAGGAGGUUAGUGCAAUGGCAUAAGCCAGCUUGACUGCGAGCGUGACGGCGCGAGCAGGUGCGAAAGCAGGUCAUAGUGAUCCGGUGGUUCUGAAUGGAAGGGCCAUCGCUCAACGGAUAAAAGGUACUCCGGGGAUAACAGGCUGAUACCGCCCAAGAGUUCAUAUCGACGGCGGUGUUUGGCACCUCGAUGUCGGCUCAUCACAUCCUGGGGCUGAAGUAGGUCCCAAGGGUAUGGCUGUUCGCCAUUUAAAGUGGUACGCGAGCUGGGUUUAGAACGUCGUGAGACAGUUCGGUCCCUAUCUGCCGUGGGCGCUGGAGAACUGAGGGGGGCUGCUCCUAGUACGAGAGGACCGGAGUGGACGCAUCACUGGUGUUCGGGUUGUCAUGCCAAUGGCACUGCCCGGUAGCUAAAUGCGGAAGAGAUAAGUGCUGAAAGCAUCUAAGCACGAAACUUGCCCCGAGAUGAGUUCUCCCUGACUCCUUGAGGGUCCUGAAGGAACGUUGAAGACGACGACGUUGAUAGGCCGGGUGUGUAAGCGCAGCGAUGCGUUGAGCUAACCGGUACUAAUGAACCGUGAGGCUUAACCUU
rnacentral:rRNA from 4 species